rnacentral:rRNA from 1 species
CCCUUAGAUGUCCGGGGCCGCACGCGCGCUACACUGAAGGAAUCAGCGUGGCUUUCUCCCUGACCCGAAAGGGUUGGGAAACCCGUUGAAUCUCCUUCGUGAUAGGGAUUGGGGCUUGAAAUUGUUCCCCAUGAACGAGGAAUUCCCAGUAAGCGCGAGUCAUAAGCUCGCGUUGAUUACGUCCCUGCCCUUUGUACACACCGCCCGUCGCUACUACCGAUUGAACGGUUUAGUCAGGGCCUCGGAUUGGUCUCGGCCCGCUCUUUACCGGGCGGCGCCGUUGGUCGAGAAGACGCUCGAACUUGAUCGUUUAGAGGAAGUAAAAGUCGUAACA